rnacentral:misc_RNA from 1 species
GCAAUGCGAUCAGUAAUGUGAAUUGCAGAAUUCAGUGAAUCAUCGAAUCUUUGAACGCAUCUUGCGCUCCUUGGUAUUCCUUGGAGCAUGCCUGUUUGAGUAUCAUGAAAUCUUCAAAGUAAAUCUUUUGUUAACUCAAUUGGUUUCUACUUUGGUAUUGGAGGUCUUUGCAGCUUCACACCUGCUCCUCUUUGUUCAUUAGCUGGAUCUCAGUGUUAUGCUUGGUUCCACUCGGCGUGAUAAGUUAUCUAUCGCUGAGGACACUGUAAAAGGUGGCCAAGGUAAAUGCAGAUGAACCGCUUCUAAUAGUCCAUUGACUUGGACAAUACUUUUAUGAUCUGAUCUCAAAUCAGGUAGGACUACCCGCUGAACUUAAGC